rnacentral:rRNA from 1 species
AUGAGUAGGGCGGGACACGUGGUAUCCUGUCUGAAUAUGGGGGGACCAUCCUCCAAGGCUAAAUACUCCUGACUGACCGAUAGUGAACCAGUACCGUGAGGGAAAGGCGAAAAGAACCCCGGCGAGGGGAGUGAAAAAGAACCUGAAACCGUGUACGUACAAGCAGUGGGAGCACCCUUCGGGGUGUGACUGCGUACCUUUUGUAUAAUGGGUCAGCGACUUAUAUUCUGUAGCAAGGUUAACCGAAUAGGGGAGCCGGAGGGAAACCGAGUCUUAACCGGGCGUUAAGUUGCAGGGUAUAGACCCGAAACCCGGUGAUCUAGCCAUGGGCAGGUUGAAGGUUGGGUAACACUAACUGGAGGACCGAACCGACUAAUGUUGAAAAAUUAGCGGAUGACCUGUGGCUGGGGGUGAAAGGCCAAUCAAACCGGGAGAUAGCUGGUUCUCCCCGAAAGCUAUUUAGGUAGCGCCUCGUGAAUUCAUCUCCGGGGGUAGAGCACUGUUUCGGCUAGGGGGCCAUCCCGGCUUACCAACCCGAUGCAAACUGCGAAUACCGGAGAAUGUUAUCACGGGAGACACACGGCGGGUGCUAACGUCCGUCGUGAAGAGGGAAACAACCCAGACCGCCAGCUAAGGUCCCAAAGUCAUGGUUAAGUGGGAAACGAUGUGGGAAGGCCCAGACAGCCAGGAUGUUGGCUUAGAAGCAGCCAUCAUUUAAAGAAAGCGUAAUAGCUCACUGGUCGAGUCGGCCUGCGCGGAAGAUGUAACGGGGCUAAACCAUGCACCGAAGCUGCGGCAGCGAACGUAUCACUUAAAGCGAUUCAGCGGGUUACGAUUGACGGAGCGA